AUACGUAGGGGGCGAGCGUUGUCCGGAAUUACUGGGCGUAAAGGGCGUGUAGGCGGUCAUAAAAGUCAGGUGUGAAAUACCGGAGCUCAACUUUGGGGUUGCACAUGAAACUAUAUGGCUUGAGGGCAGGAGAGGAGAGUGGAAUUCCCGGUGUAGCGGUGAAUGCGUAGAUAUCGGGAGGAACACCAGUGGCGAAGGCGACUCUCUGGACUGACCCUGACGCUGAGGCGCGAAAGCGUGGGUAGCGAACAGGAUUAGAUACCCUGGUAGUCCACGCCGUAAACGAUGGAUGCUAGGUGUUGGGGGUAUCGACCCCUCCAGUGCCGGAGCAAACGCAAUAAGCAUCCCGCCUGGGGAGUACGGCCGCAAGGCUGAA
rnacentral:rRNA from 1 species